rnacentral:rRNA from 1 species
AGUUUAAAGAAAUCUUUUUAAAUGUGUCCUGCCCAGUGUUUUUUAUAAAUGGCCGCAGUACCCUGACUGUGCAAAGGUAGCAUAAUCAAUUGGCUUUUAAUUAAAGUCUGGAAUGAAAGGAUUUAUGAAAAGAAACUGUCUUAAAAAUAUUUAAUUUAAUUUAUUUAUUAGGUGAAAAUACCUAUAUAUAGAAAAAAGACGAGAAGACCCUUAGAAUUUUUAUAAUAUAUUUUUAAUAUUUAUUUUUGUUGGGGCGACAAUUAAGCAUUUAAACCUUAAUUUUUUUUAAAACGAAAUUGUUAUAAAAGAUUAAAUUACCUUAGGGAUAACAGCAUUAUUUAUAAAAGUUUGUGACCUCGAUGUUGGACUAGGAACUUUAUGGCGAGCAGUCUAAAAAGAUUUGUUCUGUUCGAACAAUUAAAUCCU